rnacentral:tRNA from 1 species
GCCGUCGUGGUGUAACGGUAGCACACUCGGUGCGUACUCGAGUGACACAGGUUCGAAUCCCGGCGAGAGCA